rnacentral:lncRNA from 1 species
UAAUUCUGAUGCUACCUUGAACAAACUCACUAGACUUGUUACUGUGAGUGUAAAUAGCUGUACAAGAGAAGUUCUCAAAAGAAUUCCUAAUUUGACGCAUUUAGGAAUUGAUGUGGAGUUGAAGCCUUAUGAUGAUGAUGAAAGCAACCCAUUGAGUUGCUUAAGUUAUAUAUCACAACUCCAGAAUUUGGUCUCACUUAGAUACAGCAUCACGAAUCCCGAG